UAUAGUUUAUAGCUUGGUUAUGCAAUGUCUUGACCAGUGUUGUAAAAAUUGGACCGGCCGGUCGGACCGGUUGAACCGGGAAUCAGACUAGUAACCGGUCUGGUUCAAUAGCUCGAUCGAGAAUGUUGUCAAACCGAUGGUAAACGGUAAAAACCGGGUUAGACCGAGGAAAACCGACGGUUUCAAUGCCCUUUUUUACUCAAAACGACGUGGUUUUGAGUUUUAGAAAUUACAAAAAAAAAUGAAAAAUCUGGUUUUGAGAUUUCCAAAUACGCAAAACUGAAGAAAGAAAUAGAAAGUCAGAAACUCAACCUAGGUGAAAGAAACAAAAGCUUCCACCACCGCGCCACCGCCUUGCUUCCCGCCACACCACCGUCACUUUCCAGGAUUUCAUGUAAUAAAAGAUACGGGUGCUUGUGAAAUGAAACAGAGGCAUAAUAGUGGGUGUUAGAGGAUUCACCAUCAUUCUUGAUUAUUGAGGAGGUGAAAGCACUACGCAAAGAUCUUGCUAGUAUGACAAUUCAACCUAUUUCAAAUGAUAUUAGUAUGGUAUUAGUUAUUGUGAUUACAAUUAUGUUAUUUUAAUUUAUUAGUAUAUGUCAAUUGCUAUACUCUUUAAAUUGAUGUUGUUAUAAAUGAAUGAAAUUUGAAUGAGUUGACGUUUAGGGAGAUGCACAACUUAAUUCUAGAAAAAACAACCAAAGUAAUGAUAUCAUUGAUGAGGAAGAUGUUGCAAAUGCGAUUGAUUUUGCUGCAGAUGGUUUUGAUAUGAAAGGCGAUCCCAAUAUUGAAAUAAUUUUACCUCGUUGGAACUAAACUUAAUAGAUAUUGGAGUAUUUUUGUUCUAAAGUACUCAAUUUAAUUAUAUUGCAAUUAGACUUUGUUUGCGAUUAGACUUUGUAGUAUGUACUAUUGUUAUGUGAGAUACUUAUGUUUAAAUUUGAAUUUAAUUUAUGAACUAGUGAAUUUAUUA